UACGGAGGGUGCAAGCGUUGUCCGGAUUCAUUGGGUUUAAAGGGUGCGCAGGCGGGCGAUUAAGUCAGGGGUGAAAGACGGUUGCUCAACAAUCGCAGUGCCUUUGAUACUGGUUGUCUUGGGUGACCUUGAGGUAGGCGGAAUGGGUGGUGUAGCGGUGAAAUGCAUAGAUACCACCCAGAACUCCGAUUGCGAAGGCAGCCUACUGGAGGUUCAACCGACGCUCAGGCACGAAAAGCGUGGGGAUCAAAACAGG
rnacentral:rRNA from 1 species